UACGUAGGGUGCGAGCGUUAAUCGGAAUUACUGGGCGUAAAGCGUGCGCAGGCGGUUGUGCAAGACAGAUGUGAAAUCCCCGGGCUUAACCUGGGAACUGCAUUUGCGACUGCACGGCUAGAGUGUGUCAGAGGGGGGUAGAAUUCCACGUGUAGCAGUGAAAUGCGUAGAUAUGUGGAGGAACACCGGUGGCGAAGGCGGCAUCCUGGACCGAUAUUGACGCUGAGGCGCGAAAGCCAGGGGAGCAAACGGG
rnacentral:rRNA from 1 species